rnacentral:rRNA from 1 species
GAUGAACGCUGGCGGCGUGCCUAAUACAUGCAAGUCGAGCGAACGGACGAGAAGCUUGCUUCUCUGAUGUUAGCGGCGGACGGGUGAGUAACACGUGGAUAACCUACCUAUAAGACUGGGAUAACUUCGGGAAACCGGAGCUAAUACCGGAUAAUAUUUUGAACCGCAUGGUUCAAAAGUGAAAGACGGUCUUGCUGUCACUAAUAGAUGGAUCCGCGCUGCAUUAGCUAGUUGGUAAGGUAACGGCUUACCAAGGCAACGAUGCAUAGCCGACCUGAGAGGGUGAUCGGCCAGCCUGGAACUGAGACACGGUCCAGACUCCUACGGGAGGCAGCAGUAGGGAAUCUUCCGCAAUGGGCGAAAGCCUGACGGAGCAACGCCGCGUGAGUGAUGAAGGUCUUCGGAUCGGAAAACUCUGUUAUUAGGGAAGAACAUAUGUGUAAGUAACUGUGCACAUCUUGACGGUACCUAAUCAGAAAGCCACGGCUAACUACGUG